rnacentral:rRNA from 1 species
AACGUGAAAGGGGAGCAAUCCCCCGGUAGGGUGGCAAACGGGUGAGUAAUACAUGGGUGAUCUACCUUAGGGAUGGGGAUAUCCUUCCGAAAGGAGGGGCAAUACCGAAUAUUGUCCGGAGCCGUGAAGGGUUCCGGGGAAAGGGAGGCCUCUGAUACAAGCUUUCGCCUUAAGAUGAGCCCAUGGCCCAUCAGCUAGUUGGUAGGGUAAAGGCCUACCAAGGCUACGACGGGUCGCUGGUCUGAGAGGACGACCAGCCACACUGGCACUGAGAUACGGGCCAGACUCCUACGGGAGGCAGCAGUGAGGAAUAUUGCGCAAUGGGGGAAACCCUGACGCAGCAACGCCGCGUGUGGGAAGAAGGCCUUCGGGUCGUAAACCACUUUUGCACGGGACGAAAAAGGGAUAUCGAACAAAUAUCCCCGAUGACGGUACCGUGAGAAUAAGCCACGGCUAACUCUGUGCCAGCAGCCGCGGUAAGACAGAGGUGGCAAGCGUUGUUCGGAAUUAC